rnacentral:rRNA from 1 species
UCUUCUAGAAAGAUACGGCUCAGUAACACGUGGAUAACCUACCCUUAGGACCGGGAUAACCCUGGGAAACUGGGGAUAAUACUGGAUAUAUGGAGAUACCUGGAAUGGUUCUCCACUUAAAGCUCCGGCGCCUAAGGAUGGAUCUGCGGCAGAUUAGGUCGUUGGUGGGGUAAUGGCCCACCAAGCCUUUGAUCUGUACGGGUUGUGAGAGCAAGAGCCCGGAGAUGGAACCUGAGACAAGGUUCCAGGCCUUACGGGGCGCAGCAGGCGCGAAACCUCCGCAAUGCGAGCAAUCGCGACGGGGGGACCCCAAGUGCCACUCUUAACGGGGUGGCUUUUUUUAAGUGUAAAAAGCUUUUGGAAUAAGGGCUGGGCAAGACCGGUGCCAGCCGCCGCGGUAACACCGGCAGCCCAAGUGGUGGCCAUUUUUAUUGGGCCUAAAGCGUUCGUAGCCGGCCUGAUAAGUCUCUGGUGAAAUCCCGCAGCUUAACUGUGGGAAUUGCUGGAGAUACUAUCAGGCUUGAGGUCGGGAGAGGUUAGAGGUACUCCCAGGGUAGGGGUGAAAUCCUAUAAUCCUGGGAGGUCCACCUGUGGCUAAGGCGUCUAACUGGAACGAACCUGACGGUGAGUAACGAAAGCCAGGGGCGCGACCCCGAUUAGAUACCCGGGUAGCCCUGGCCGUAAACGAUGUGGACUUGGUGUUGGGAUGGCCUCGAGCCUGCCCCUCUGCCGAAGGGAAGUUGUUAACUCCCUCGCCUGGGAAUUACGGUCGCAAGACUGAAACUUAAACGAAUUGGUGGGGGAGC